AUGAAUAUUUUAAAUUUGAACUGUCGGGGUUGCGGGCGGCCCGAGACAGUUCAAGAAAUCUGCAACUUGGUACAGUUGCAUCACCCGUGUUUUGUUUUUCUCUCGGAGACCAAACUGUCUGCUACGAGAGCGCAAGACUUGAGGUUCCGGUUGGGGUUUAGGCAUGCUUUUGGUGACAAGAGCGAGGGCCUGAGUGGUGGCCUUGUGCUGUUUUGGAACAACGAUUCAGUGGUAAGCCUGAAAUCA
rnacentral:rRNA from 1 species